rnacentral:rRNA from 1 species
UCUAACAUGUGCGCGAGUCAUUGGGAUUCUUGUAAACCUAAAGGCGCAAUGAAAGUGAAGGUCUUCCUUAAGCGUUGACCGAGGGAGGAUGGCUCGCGUCACGAUGCGAGCCCGCACUCCCGGGGCGUCUCGUGCUCAUUGCGAGCAGAGGCGCACCCAGAGCGUACACGUUGGGACCCGAAAGAUGGUGAACUAUGCCUGGUCAGGACGAAGUCAGGGGAAACCCUGAUGGAGGUCCGUAGCGAUUCUGACGUGCAAAUCGAUCGUCGGAACUGGGUAUAGGGGCGAAAGACUAAUCGAACCAUCUAGUAGCUGGUUCCCUCCGAAGUUUCCCUCAGGAUAGCUGGCACUCGCUUGAGCGAGUCUCAUCUGGUAAAGCGAAUGAUUAGAGGCCUUGGGGCCGAAACGACCUCAACCUAUUCUCAAACUUUAAAUGGGUGAGAUCUCUGGCUUGCUUGAACGUUGAAGCCACGAGAUUAAAAUAAUGGAUCAGAGUGCCAAGUGGGCCAAUUUUGGUAAGCAGAACUGGCG